GUUUGAGUUUCUUUUUACUAAUUCUGUUUUUGUUUUUGGGAAUUUUGUAAUGUACUUUUGGGUGGCUCUAGUUCACCAUGACUUUACCUUAGCACUUUAAUUUUUCUUUAGUAUUUUUAUAAUUGCAUGAGUACUUUUUGAAAUUUAAGUGUGUUUUUAAUCAAAUUGGUUUACCAACAUCUCUAUUUAAUUGUUCUUACUCGUAAGUCAAGCUUAAAGCAACCAAGAAUUGUUCGCAAAGAAAGAAGCAUAGGCUACUUCGAGUGGUGAUGAUAAGAAUUAGUGUCGGCAUUUCAAGGUACACUUUAUCGCUUUCUAGACUUAACAUGAGUAGUUUGAUGGUGUGUGCAAAUUCCAUUUCAUAAAUUCAUUGAAAUAUAUGUCAUCUUUGAAUCAAAAUAGGACCUAACCAUUUGUGAGGAAGCUUUCCAUUGUGCACUAAAAAGCGGGAAACCGAGCAUUAUGUUAACUCAUUCUUAUCAUGCUAAAUCAUGCAUCAAUCUAAUUUUGUGUGAAAUUUUUGAAAAUGAUAGAGGCAUUGUUUGUGAGAAAAACUACUUGACCAAAAAGCUUGAAUCAACUAACCUUGUGAGGAAUAAUCCUUAGUUAACCCCCUUUGAGCUUAAUUUAGGAU
rnacentral:lncRNA from 1 species